AAUCCAUAGGUUAAUGAGGCGAACCGGGGGAACUGAAACAUCUAAGUACCCCGAGGAAAAGAAAUCAACCGAGAUUCCCCCAGUAGCGGCGAGCGAACGGGGAGGAGCCCAGAGCCUGAAUCAGCAUGUGUGUUAGUGGAAGCGUCUGGAAAGGCGCGCGAUACAGGGUGACAGCCCCGUACACAAAAGCGCAUGUGCUGUGAGCUCGAUGAGUAGGGCGGGACACGUGGUAUCCUGUCUGAAUAUGGGGGGACCAUCCUCCAAGGCUAAAUACUCCUGACUGACCGAUAGUGAACCAGUACCGUGAGGGAAAGGCGAAAAGAACCCCGGCGAGGGGAGUGAAAAAGAACCUGAAACCGUGUACGUACAAGCAGUGGGAGCACCCUUUGGGUGUGACUGCGUACCUUUUGUAUAAUGGGUCAGCGACUUAUAUUCUGUAGCAAGGUUAACCGAAUAGGGGAGCCGGAGGGAAACCGAGUCUUAACCGGGCGUUAAGUUGCAGGGUAUAGACCCGAAACCCGGUGAUCUAGCCAUGGGCAGGUUGAAGGUUGGGUAACACUAACUGGAGGACCGAACCGACUAAUGUUGAAAAAUUAGCGGAUGACCUGUGGCUGGGGGUGAAAGGCCAAUCAAACCGGGAGAUAGCUGGUUCUCCCCGAAAGCUAUUUAGGUAGCGCCUCGUGAAUUCAUCUCCGGGGGUAG
rnacentral:rRNA from 1 species